rnacentral:rRNA from 1 species
AUUGAACGCUGGCGGCAUGCUUUACACAUGCAAGUCGAACGGUAACAGGCCGCAAGGUGCUGACGAGUGGCGAACGGGUGAGUAAUGCAUCGGAACGUGCCCAGUCGUGGGGGAUAACUACUCGAAAGAGUAGCUAAUACCGCAUACGAUCUAUGGAUGAAAGCGGGGGACCGUAAGGCCUCGCGCGAUUGGAGCGGCCGAUGUCAGAUUAGGUAGUUGGUGGGGUAAAGGCUCACCAAGCCAACGAUCUGUAGCUGGUCUGAGAGGACGACCAGCCACACUGGGACUGAGACACGGCCCAGACUCCUACGGGAGGCAGCAGUGGGGAAUUUUGGACAAUGGGCGCAAGCCUGAUCCAGCAAUGCCGCGUGCAGGAAGAAGGCCUUCGGGUUGUAAACUGCUCUUGUACGGAACGAAACGGCCCUGGUUAAUACCCGGGGCUAAUGACGGUACCGUAAGAAUAAGCACCGGCUAACUACGUG